rnacentral:rRNA from 1 species
CAGCAGCCGCGGGAAUACAGAGGGUGCGAGCGUUAAUCGGAUUUACUGGGCGUAAAGCGUGCGUAGGCGGCUUCUUAAGUCGGAUGUGAAAUCCAUGAGCUUAACUUAGGAAUUGCAUUCGAUACUGGGAAGCUAGAGUAUGGGAGAGGAUGGUAGAAUUCCAGGUGUAGCGGUGAAAUGCGUAGAGAUCUGGAGGAAUACCGAUGGCGAAGGCAGCCAUCUGGCCUAAUACUGACGCUGAGGUACGAAAGCAUGGGGAGCAAACAGGAUUAGAUACCCCGGUAGUCCCUGUCUCUUAUAC